rnacentral:rRNA from 1 species
UACGUAGGGGGCAAGCGUUGUCCGGAAUCAUUGGGCGUAACGAGCGUGUAGGCGGCCAGAAAAGUCCGCUGUGAAAACUCGAGGCUCAACUUCGAGCUGUCGGUGGAAACUUUCUGGCUAGAGUCCGGAAGAGGAGAAUGGAAUUCCUGGUGUAGCGGUGAAAUGCGCAGAUAUCAGGAAGAACACCCGUGGCGAAGGCGGUUCUCUGGGACGGUACUGACGCUGAGACGCGAAAGCGUGGGGAGCGAACAGG